AACACACACAGGCCUGAGCUCCGGAUAUUUCUCCUGUUCUGGAGACAGUGAGAAGUGAAAGAGAAAUGGCUGCCCCUGCACCACUUACCGCGAAGGAGGCUCAAGGCUGGGGGGCCCCUCUGCCUUCCAGUGACCGCCCGUGUCACAUCCUGACCCGCUCAGCAGGAGAACACAGCAGGUCCCUCCGACCGCAGUCGGCCUCUCCAGCCUGCCAUGCCUCUGGCCAUGAGGCGACCCGCUGGAGUGAUGGAUUCCCGUCACUACCACCCACAGGGCGAGGGGGUGCAUUGGUCUGCUUGGGCCGCUGUAACAAAAUGCCACAGCCUGGAUGAGUGACUGACAUUGCUUCCCCACCGUUCUGGAGGCUGGAGGCCCGAGAUCGAGGUCCCUGACACUAUUUCAGUGAUGCCAGAGCCCAGGAGGAGUCGACCAAGCCCCAGCGUGGCCAUAAGCACCUUCGCAGGACCACGGAGUCGCUGCAGGUGUUCAGCCCUGUUGAGAGUGGGAGUCGGUGUCGAUGGUCACAGCUCAGUAACUCAUCGUCACCAGCGAGUACCACAGAGCAGACACAACUGCACUUCUCUGUAGAGCCUCCAGUCGAUACUGAGAGCCACUGGGGCGUCUGACACCCAAGGGUGCAGACAUUCACUCCAAGUCCAGAGACCGCGCCCUUUCUAAGGCCCUGUCUCACAGUCGCCCCGUGCUCAUUGUGCCGGAUGUUUCCACAGCCACAGAGACGGUGAGGUGCAGCCUAGUGCAUAUGACUGACAGAAACGUGAAGCCACAGUGGACGCCUGGAUGAGACACAGAUCACCUUCCAAAUCUGAGUGUGGCCUUGGGACCAACCAGGCAGCCAGGGAGAAGGCAGAGACCAGAGGGAACCCAGGUGCCCUCAAUCCCAGCCUCCUCUAUCCCAGCCUCCCAAUCCCAGCCUCCCCAAUCCCAGCCUCCUAAUCCCAGCCUCCUCCAUCCCAGGACCCCCACUCCCAGCCUCCCGAUCCCAGCUUCUCUGAUCCCAGCCUCCCCUAAAACCCAGACUCUAUGAAUCCCAGCCUCUGAGGUGGGAACUGUUAGUAACCCCACUCCAUGGACAAGAAAGCUGGGGCCUGGCGAGGCUAACAGACUAUCCUGAUGGUGUGAGGGAGGGAUCGGCCUCUGAGGGCUGCUUCCACCCAUCUCACCAGUGGCUGCAGGCUCCAGGCGCCACUUUCCUUGAGUCUAUGUUCUUUCCAAGCAUCCUGCAGCUCCAGAAGCUCUGGAGCCGCCAGCACUGAGAGAAGCGAUGGAGCUGCAUGCAGGGUGAGUGUAGGACCGGGCGGAGCUGCUCUGUGGCUGGCGGGCACAUUCUUUGUCAACAUGAGCAUCUCUCACUGUUCCUAGGAAACUUUGUUGACAGCGGUGUCUGGAUGGACCAGCAGAGGGCACUCUCACCCACGGGGAAAAUCGUGCGCCCGGCCUCGUCCACCGCCAGAAGACGCCGCUACACAAUGGAGUCUCGCUCUGUCGACCAGGCUGGAGUGCAAUGGUGCGAUCUCGGCUCACUGCAAUCUCUGCCUCCCGGUGAGAGGUGAAGCCAGCUGGACUUCCUGGGUCUAGUGGGGACUUGGAGAACUUUUCUGUCUAGCUAAAGAUUUGUAAAUGCACCAAUCAGUGCUGUGUCUAGCUAAAGUUUGUAAACGUACCAAUCAGCACUCUGUAAAAAUGGGCCAAUCAGCACUCUGUAAAAUGGACCAAUCAGCACUCUGUAAAAUGGACCAGUCAGCAGGAUGUGGGCGGGGUCAAAUAAAGGAAUAAAAAGCUGGUAGCCGAGCCGGCAGUGGCAAACCGUUUGGGUCCUUCUCGGUACCCUGGUGGCUUUGUUGUUUUGCUCUUUGCAAUAGAUCUUGUUGCCGCUUGCUCUUUGGGGCCUCACUGCCUUUAUGAGCUAUAACACUCCCCGCAGAGGUCUGCAGCUUCAUUCUUGAAGCCAGCGAGACCACGAACCCACUGGGAGGAACCAACAACUCCAAACGCGCCACCUGUAAGAGCUGUAACACUCCCUGUGAAGGUCUGUGGCUUCACUCCUGAAGUCAGCGAGACCAGGAACCCACCGGAAGGAACUCCGGACACAAAGAACUGCAACACUCACCCGAGGGUCUGUGGCUUCAUUCUUGAAGUCAGUGAGAUUAAGAACCCACCGGAAGGAACCAGUUCCGGACGUGCCGAGUUCAAGCAAUUGUCCUGCCUCAGUCUCCGGAGUAACUGGGAUUACAGGUGCACGCUGCCAUGCCCAGCUAAUUUGUAUUUUAGUAGAGUCGAGGUUUCACCGCGUUGCCCAGGCUGGUCUCGAAUUCCUGAGCUUGGGCAACCCACUCACCUCGGCCUCCCAAAGUGCUAGGAUUACAGGCGUGAGCCACCAGGCCGGGCCCGUAUGGUGGUUUCUACUCCGGACUGACUCUCCCGGGUCUUGGUCACUCUGCAGAAUCCUGGACCGGAAGGGGGCCUCGGCCAGGGGAGGGCUUGCGAGGAGCCCCGGACCUACUGGCCAUUAUAGGGUGACGGGAAGUUCCUUGCAUCCCGGGAUCCCAUGGCACUUGGUCAGGGAAGCCUCCCCAGAGAGGCCCAACUCCCCAGAUCCAGGUGGGGAAUCAGGGUACCAGCCAGGCAGUGUUCCCACCCCAGCCAUGCUGCUGGCUUCCGUCCCUGUGGUGGGGUCACCCAGGUGGCUCAUGCCUCCACGCACAGCCUUGUGGACACCCCCACACCGCCCAUAGUCAAGUCAGAGCUCACGAGCCCACAGGGCAGAUACCCGCCACGAGGGGACGGUGGGCCAGGAGGGUCCUCUGUGGGCAGCGCCGUGUUCCUGAUCUCCCCAGGCUGCUGGGGGAUGGGGUGGGGCAGAGGAGGCCACCUUCCCAUUUCCCACUUUGCUGGGUCUCCCUCUUUGCUGGACAGUGCUGGGGCAGGUUACACACCCAUGACAGUGUGAGGACUGAGGGUGCGCGUCCUGGAGCCUUCAGGGCUUGGGUGGAGGGGGCAGCUUGUCCCCCUGAGGCCUGGGCCAGAGAUCCCAUUCUGAAUGCGGAGAGCCAAGAUUCUACCUGGAUCCUGGCCUUGUGGGUCACUGUGACGGCCCAGAGCUGACUUUAUGUGACAGUUUGUCCUGAGAUUUAAAACUGAAUAUUUAGACUCGUGGGAUCUGGGCAUCCACUUCAACCAAGGAUGGGGACAGGCAGCAGGGUGGAGGGUGGACGAUGCAGGAAGAUGCUGUAGGACCAAGAACAAGGGGGCUGUGAGGCAAAGGAGCAGCACGAGGAGCCGUGUGUGCCCACUGCCACUUGCAGCCUCAUUUCUCAACCCGACUGUGAUGACUGCCGCUUGCUGGAAAGAUGCUCUGAAGACACAAUGAACUGACAAUGCGUCACCCCGACUCCUGCCUGAGCCACUCCAUUCCUUAAAGACGGUACGUGACUCACGUCCUUGCUGUGUCCUGCACGAGAUAAGGUCUGGCAGGGUUGGUAAUUAUGCCUCUGGGAUCUGUAACCAGACAUUCUCUGUAACCAUUCUGUAUAAUCUGGACGUUCUCUGUAAUCCAGAUGUUCUGUGUAAACUGAAGUUCUCUGUAAUUGGACUUUCUCUAUAACCAGUUGUCCUCUGUAACCUUCUCUAUAAUCCAGAUGUUCUUUGCAACCAGAUAUUCUCUCUAACCAGACAUUCUGUAUAAUCCAGACAUUCUCUGUAACCAGAUGUUUUCUAUAAUCCAGAUUUUUUUUUUUUUUUGAGACAGUUGCACUCUUUUUGCCCAGGCUGGAGUGCAAUGGUGAGAUCUUGGCUCCCUGCAACCUCCACCUCCCAGGUUCAAGCGAUUCUCCUGCUUCAACCUCCCUAGUAGCUGAGAUUACAGGCAUGCACCACCAUGCUUAGCUAAUUUUGUAUUUUUAGUAGAGACGGGGUUUCUUCAUGUUGGUCAGACUGCUCUCAAACUCCUGACCUCAGGUGAUCCGCCCACCUCGGCCUCCCAAAGUGCUGGGAUGACAGACGUGAGCCACCGCACCCGGCCCUGGAUGUUCUUUUUAAUCCAGAUAUUCUCUGUAAUCCAGACGUUCUCUACAACCAGACAUUCUCUGUAAUCGGACAUUCAGUACAAUCCAGGCUUUCUCCGUAACCAGACGUUCUCUAUAAUCCAGACGUUCUCUGUAACCCACACGCAGCUCCGUGUGACUCUGCUCUUCCGUGACUUCUGCGUCUAUAAUCCAGACGUUCUCUGUAACCCACGUGCAGCUCCGUGUGACCCUGCUCUUCCGUGACUUCUGCGUCUAUAAUCCAGACGUUCUCUGUAACCCACUGCAGCUCCGUGUGACUCUGCUCUUCCGUGACUUCUGCGUCUAUAAUCCAGACGUUCUCUGUAACCCACUGCAGCUCCGUGUGACUCUGCUCUUCCGUGACUUCUGCAUCUAUAAUCCAGACGUUCUCUGUAACCCACUGCAGCUCCGUGUGACUCUGCUCUUCCGUGACUUCUGCGUCUAUAAUCCAGACGUUCUCUGUAACCCACUGCAGCUCCGUGUGACUCUGCUCUUCCGUGACUUCUGCGUCUAUAAUCCAGACGUUCUCUGUAACCCACUGCAGCUCCGUGUGACUCUGCUCUUCCGUGACUUCUGCGUCUAUAAUCCAGACGUUCUCUGUAACCCACUGCAGCUCCGUGUGACUCUGCUCUUCCGUGACUUCUGUGCACAUUUCGAGCUGCAUCACCAGAGCUGUGCCAGGAGCUGGGACUGUUCCGCAGCAGCCUGACCAUGUGCCUCUGAAAGACCCCUCCCGGGCUGCAGUGCUCAGAAAAACUUCCAAAUAAGAUGAACUUCCCUUAUUUAAAAGCUUGACUCCUUUUUUAGUGGACAGGGCUAUGAGCUGAGGGACACGAGACGUCCAGGACAGGAGGGCCGGCCUUGUCUCAGGCCCUGCUCCCUCACCAAAGGCUCUGUGCUCUGUUCUCCUUCUGAGCCAGCUGUCCUGAAACGGAGGCCCUUUUGUGACCCGACUUGGUCUGUUGGCGGGGGACAGACACCAAGGCCAUGUCUCACACCGGUCAUGGCCAGCCCCCGGCCCUCCUUCCCUCCUCCCCUCCUUCCCUGCUGUAGCCUUUAGGGUUCAGACCCUGGCUGUCCUGUCCUCAUUGGGGCUGAUGCCCUGCCAUGCCCCCCAGGAGCCCCCGUGCUCGGCAGGCUUGGGCUGGGAGGCGCAGUCUCCAGUCUCCAGCAGACACCACCUUACCCAGGUACAUGGCACUUUCCUCAUUAGGGUGACAUUUUCCUCAUCAGUGAGGCUCUCGCCUCCUGAGUUGCACCACCCCUGCGCCAGCGUGGUUGGUCUCCAGAGUCAUACAUGAGCAUGGCGGGCUUGCCUCCAGGAACCAGAGGGUCCUCUGGGGGUUGGGGCACAAGGGGCCGCCCUGACCUCCCCAGACCCUAAUGCGAUUCCCACAGCUCUCGUCCACGAAGCACCAGGCCUCGGCCACGUUUCUAAUCUCGUGAUCCCUCCUGGAAAUCCCAGACAUGACAGAUCCCAACGGGGUGAUGCUUGCAUCACUGAACCAACCCCAGGACACCGGAGAGCUGGCCGUGUGGGGAACCCGUGGAUCCACCUGGGCCCUGGAGCUGGGGAUGUUGGUAGUGUGCGGGGAGGCGGCAAGGCAAGACGGGCAGGAGGAGGCAGCUCUGUCCAGGGCCCAGGCGUCCCUCACGCCGUUUCCAGGCACCCGCAGACUUCAGGAGUCUUAGUCAUCGUUGGGUGUUUGGGGCUCUCUAGUCCCAGUAGGUGCUGGGACUCUCAAACCUCACAGCUACCACCCUGGUGCUAUCGUUACGGACGAUCGCACUUUUGAGAAAAUUGGGCACCGUUGCCAGAGCAGCAGUUAGGCCUCAAGCCAACUAGGCUCCAGAGCGCCUGCCGCCAACCAUCAUACCACAGGGCACGGUCUCGGAUAUUAAACGUCUGGUUGGA
rnacentral:lncRNA from 10 species